AUACGGAGGGUGCAAGCGUUAAUCGGAAUUACUGGGCGUAAAGCGUACGUAGGCGGUUCGUUAAGUUAGAUGUGAAAGUCCCGGGCUUAACCUGGGAACCGCAUUUAAAACUGGCGAACUAGAGUUGAGUAGAGGGGAGUGGAAUUUCAGGUGUAGCGGCGAAAUGCGUAGAGAUCUGAAGGAACACCAGUGGCGAAGGCGACUCCCUGGACUCGAACUGACGCUGAGGUACGAAAGCGUGGGGAGCAAACAGGAUUAGAUACCCUAGUAGUCC
rnacentral:rRNA from 1 species